UAGACAUGUAAAGCUGCGGAACCGCAGCAACAUUUUCUGAACCGCAGUUUCUGAACCACAGCUACAGAACGGAAGUGAUGGUGGAGUUAUUGACGACAAUGGCGAUGAAAACGUUCUUGGAGGGUGGGCAGGGGAGCACCAAUGAUCUUCUCAGCAGUCCUAACCGUCCUCUGUAGUCUUCUGAUGUCUGACUUUGUGGCUGAGCCAAACCAGACAGUGAUGGAUGUGCAGAGGGCAGACUCUAUGACAGCUGAGUAAAACUGUUUUAAUAGAGUUUGUGGUAGGUUGAACUUCUUCAGCUGAUGUAAGAAGUACAACCUUUGCUGGGCUUUUUUAGCAAUGGAGCCAAUGUGAUUGUCCCACUUCAGGUUCUGAGAGAUGGUGGUGCCCAGGAACCUGAAUGACUGUUCAUGAUGGUGAGAGGGGGGAGUGCAGGGGGGUUUCUCCUGAAGUCCACAAUCGUCUCCACUUGCCAUGUUUUAUUGUACAGAACUUUUUUUUUUUCUGUGGACGGUUCGAUUACUUUUCGGAGGACCUGUUGUAUUUGGGCAUUACCUUUAUUUUAAGAAAUAUAAGGGUAUUUUGGCGGAUUAAUCGUACAUGUGUCCUAUGGUGUGACAAAGCAAAAUUUAGAAAACAAGAUGUUAACAUUGCAUUGUUUUAAUAAUGGCUUUAUUUAUUGUAUAUAGCAUAUGGCAGAUUUAUCUUUAUAGUUAUUCGUAGUUAUUUUUAAAAAAAGCAUUUUAGUCUAUCAACUACCCAUAAAUAGUUUAUUCCACUUCAUUUGUUAUAUGCAUUGUUUGUGAGUUGAUUUUACUUAUCGUCUAAGUUUUUAAUCGGAUUUGUCACUGCUGAUAUAAUUGUGUUUUGCAUUUAUCUCUUGUAGAGACAACCAACGAUUCAGCAAGGUAAUUCUUUACCUGAGUUGCAGCAAUGUACCAACUGUCGCAGGAAUUACACUGUCCUUUUUGCUCGGCCAGUGUGUUUAAGCCAGCCAAACUGGUAAAAUUAAAAAGUCACAUUCAAAGCCAUUUCAACGAGGCAAUUGUUAAUAUUUUGUGUUAUUUGUUUAACAUGUGUCAUAUGAUUAUAUUAUAGCAUUAUGUUUUACCAUUAUACUUUAACAAACUGGGUGAAUUUGAUCAAUUGUAAUUUUUAUAAUUUGUUUUACAGUAUGUAUGUUGGAUUUAAAUGAUGUUUCGUUUAAAAGAAUGCUGCAGUUUUUUUUAACCGUAAAACAAUAAAACUAAUACAAUCAUACAAAAUGCUCUCAAGUUUGAAACAUUAUUUCUAACACCAUCAACAGGAACACAAUAAGCUAUGAAACACAUUCAUUAUACAAUAAUUCUACACAAGAUUGAUGUUUUAAACGGCUUUUUGUACCAUACCUUAAUGUAUUAUUAUAACUCACACAUGUAAGACCUGAAAAGCAGCCUUAUUUAAGAAUAUGACGUUUUCGCGUGUAACAAUAGCAAAUCACUCUCCAAGACUCUAGGUGGCGCGACUUCGUCUAAGAACGAAAGCUCCGCCCCCUCAUUCUGUGACCGCAGCUGGAUACUAUUGAAGUUAGAAGGCUUGUUCGUGUUGACCCAUACUAGCCUGCAGUGACUGGCGACAUCAGCCGGUUGCAGGCGGGGGAGGAGUAAACAGACGGCCGUCAGGUCGGACACUUCGUGCUUCCUGUAGGGAGUUGAACCUACAGCAAACCACGGAUAUUCAUUUCUUUAUCACGGAUUAAGUGAAUAUGAUAGGAAAACCUAUUUUUCAACAUAAAUGUGAUACAAAAAUCAAAUUUGUGAGUAUAAUCGUAACCGAGUGUGUCAGAAUAAACACGCAACACAUACAUGUGAACAUUCUGGCCAAUGAGAAUAAAGUGUGUCGUCAUUAAGGCUUUCUCAGCCGAUUUUGAGUGACUGCAGCGCAUGACAUAUAGGCGGCUGGUCUCGUUUUGCUCUCGCGGUACUUUAAUGGCAGAUGUGAUCUUUAAGGGGCUCUCACUAAAUCCUUAUGCUGCGUCCCAAACCGCAUACUGUCAUACUAUAUAGUAGGCAAAAAGCAGUAGGCGAAAGAGUAGUAUGUCCCAAACAUCAGUAUUCAUAAAACAGUAGGCGAGAAAUUUACGCCUGGUGCACUAUUUCUCGCGAGAUUUGGACGUGUGUAUGCUACUGUGGCGUCCAAAACCGCCUACUUACCUACUAUAUAGUAUGUGAAAACAAUAUAGUAUGUCCCAAACCUCAGUAUUCAUAAGAGAGUAGGUGAGAAAUUCCCGGAUGGCUUACUGGUUACGCCCACAUUCUGAAGCACCCAGCGACAGAUACUUGGGAUACUUCUAUAUCCCAUGAGCCCACGGGGCAGGAUAAGUUCAAACAGGAUCAUGGCGGAGAACUGCGAGGCAGGAGUUUUCUAAUGUGAGUAUUACUAGCCAACAACGCUUCUCUUGGCGUUGCAGUCGCAUUUGUUAAAGUGUUGUAGCGUGAAGUUAUCCUGUAAGAUGCUACAUAGUUUAGUACAUGUUUGAUUUUUCUGUGAAAAUGCAGUGUUUUAAUAUGUCUAGCGUAAAGGGGCGCUCCACGCACACACGCGUCUUCGAAGUAGACUUAACGUGACAAAUAUUAAAACCAUACGUAUGUUACAGACGCUUUUUAAUGUCUGUGUAACGUGACCUGUCAUUUUCUCGAUAAAGUGUUGCAAAUGAGCACAUCACAAUAUGAAAUACACAUCACAGUAAUGUAUCUUACGUCUGUUAACAUGUGGUACAAAGCAUUGUUCACUGCUUGCAUAGAUACAUGGAAGUAAUGUAACUAAACAUAAUGUAUAUUUUUUAUUUGUCCAUUAGUACUGAUGAUGAAUUCAGGAAAAUAAACAGCGAGAUAACACAUGUGCAACUACCUCCACAUUUAAAUGCAGUUUUGAGCACAAAUCACAGAGGUCACUUGAAUCUUGUUUGACUGUUACAGGGACAGAUGAGCACACUCGUUAACAUCACGGAGGUGGUGAAGGUGGUCCGCUGCGAGAUGGCAGUGGGGUGUGGGGUUCAACGCCUGUAGAUACAGGAUCAUUUGUUACAACAAUAAAUUGAAAUAAAGCUUUGAUUUAUGUGAUGUUUACUUGUAUAUGUAUGAAUAAUUAUUAAAUUCAUUUAUUUUCUUACAUCAAAUUUACGUAUUUUUUAUUCAUGUUUAUUCUAUAGUUUUCUGUAAAUAAAACAUAUUACAUUA